rnacentral:rRNA from 1 species
AAUGAACGCUGGCGGCAUGCCUAACACAUGCAAGUCGAACGAAGGCUUCGGCCUUAGUGGCGCACGGGUGCGUAACGCGUGGGAAUCUGCCCUUGGGUUCGGAAUAACAGUUAGAAAUGACUGCUAAUACCGGAUGAUGUCGUGAGACCAAAGAUUUAUCGCCCAAGGAUGAGCCCGCGUAGGAUUAGCUAGUUGGUGGGGUAAAGGCCCACCAAGGCGACGAUCCUUAGCUGGUCUGAGAGGAUGAUCAGCCACACUGGGACUGAGACACGGCCCAGACUCCUGCGGGAGGCAGCAGUGGGGAACAUUGGACAAUGGGCGAAAGCCUGAUCCAGCAAUGCCGCGUGAGUGAUGAAGGCCUUAGGGUUGUAAAGCUCUUUUACCCGGGAUGAUAAUGACAGUACCGGGAGAAUAAGCUCCGGCUAACUUCGUGCCAGCCGCCGCAGUAAAAC